AAGAGAGCAGUGAUUAUAAACCACAAGAAUCAAAAAAAAUCUGAUUUGCUCAAUUUCUGGGCAUGAUAGACUUAUUAUACACCCAUAGAAUAUGAGCUCUC
rnacentral:snoRNA from 1 species